rnacentral:tRNA from 2 species
CGGGUGUAGUUCAAUGGUAGAAUUCCAGCCUUCCAAGCUGGCCGUGCGGGUUCGAUUCCCGUCACCC